GCGGCCGCAACUUACCCAAUUCUGGCACGGAGAGGUAGUGACGAAUAGUAACGGCCUUGUGACUCGGCUGAGGCCUCAGGGUUGGAAAAAGAUUGUACUAAACCAUCUGUCGUGGAUUGGAGGGCAAGUCUGGUGCCAGCAGCCGCGGUAAUUCCAGCUCCAAUAGCAUAUAUUAAACUUGCUGCGGUUAAAAAGCUCGUAGUUGGAUUUUACAUCCGGGCCGGUAGCCCAUACGUGUCGCGUGUCUCAUGCUCGCUGUGUGAGAUGCGAUACCUGUACGUUCGGGCAUACCCUCUUCGCUAUUGCCUUUGUCAAUCGCCUGGUUGCGGGCGGUUCUACCGUGUAAUUCGUAGCACGGGGGGUCUUUUUAGGCCUUCCGGCUCGGUUACUGCGGCCGUGUUUCGCGCGAAACCAAAUUUGUGUCUGCUGUUCCCGCUGCGGGAGAGUACAUGUUGCUCUCGUUAUCCGUCGGGUUCUGGUUUGUAUACUUAUCUUGGUGCGUUCUCGGCAGUACUGCGGCGAGUGCGUGCAUCGGUAUACGGUAGCGUAAGGUAGUAACGUGCGUGCAGACGCUGAAAAACUCUCCAGUGAGUGAGCGCGUGGGCGGUGGCUUACUGUCGGUUUCCGGAGCGAUAAAGUCUGUCGGUUCACACAAGGGGCGUGCUCUUCAAUGAGUAUGUUUCCUGCCGUGGCCGAUACGUUCACUUUGAAAAAAUUAGAGUGCUCAAAGCGGGCGAUCGUAAAAACGCUCGAAUACCACUGCAUAGAAUGAUGGAACAGGACCUCGGUUCUGCUUUUCCGUCGGUUUAAUGUUCCUGAGGUAAUGGUUAAAGGGGACAGACGGGGGCAUUAGUACUGCGGCGCGAGAGGUGAAAUUCUUUGACCGUCGCAAGACUACCUACUGCGAAAGCAUUUGCCAAGAAUGUUUUCAUUAAUCAAGAACGAAAGUUAGAUGAUCGAAGGCGAUUAGAUACCGCCCUAGUUCUAACCGUAAACGAUGCUGACCAGCUAUCCGCUCGCGUCAUACCCACGACCGAACGGGAUACUUCCGGGAAACCACUUAAGUUGGAGCUCCGGGGGGAGUAUGGUCGCAAGACUGAAACUUAAAGGAAUUGACGGAAGGGCACCACCAGGAGUGGAGCCUGCGGCUUAAUUUGACUCAACACGGGGAACCUCACCAGGUCAGGACAUUGUUAUGAUUGACAGAUUGAGAGCUCUUUCUCGAUUCGGUGAAUGGUGGUGCAUGGCCGUUCUUAGUUGGUGGAGCGAUUUGUCAGGUUAAUUCCGGUAACGAACAAGGCUCUAUCCUACUAACUAGUCGGCGUAUUGUUUACGUCCAGUCUCUCUUCUCCGAACAGGCUAUAUUCAGUCCGCCUUCGGCUGCAGUUUCGGUUCUGGAGUAGCGGGCGUUGGAAUUUUCCGCUGGAGUCGGACGUGUUUCCGGUCGUGACGGUGGAUGCGGGUGUAUUAGCUCCUUUUUUAAGGUGUUUUAAGCGGCAGCUGCGCGGCUUUUCGGUCGUGUUAGUCUGUCCGUGCGCCCGUCGUCUCGUUUAAUUACGUAACCGUCAGCCACACGUUUCAAUUUUCCACGCGGGCCGGCGUGCCGACUUCAGGGCUGUUGUAGUCGUUCCAGCGGGCUGAAGUCUGCCAGGGGUCUGAGCUGGGGUGCGUACGUUGAAUGUAAUCUUCUUAGAGGGAUCGGCGGCAGAACU
rnacentral:rRNA from 1 species